UUAGGGAACACAGCUGUAAAGCUCAAAAACUUUUCAAUUGUUUGAAUAAUGCUAGUCACUUUUGUAAUUUAAUUUAAGUAAAUUUAACCUGUCCCAAUUAGGCCAUGGUCCCUUCAAAUUUCCGAAAUGUGUAUGGCAUUGAGAUGGUUAAUGAAUUCAGUUUACUCAAAGGUAAAUUCAUGGCAAGCUCUUGAAAUGGGCAAGCAGAACUCUUUUCUACAAUUGUGCUAUCAUGCUGGCAGCUCCAAUUUAUCAAGCUUAAAGUAUUGCCAAUUUUGCUGUUCAAAUCUCUAUGCUAGAGUAAUUGGAUUUGCAAACCAGGAACUGGUACCCAACAGCACACCAUCAUGACUACCAUCAUUACUUCUACUACCAUUAACACCAUUUAAUGACUGUACUAUGAACCAGGCACUGUGAGGGGCAUCGUUUGUGAUAGCACCGUAGGUGACGGAACUUGAUCCCUGUGGGCUCUGCUUUACCAGGGAACCAGGAGAUGUUCAGGUGAGACAACAGUCUCUGCACCAAUAAUGGACCAAAAUCCGUUUGGUGGACUCUAUGAAUGCCUCCAAAAGAAACACAAAGAAUUCUGUAGAGAAAAAUAGAUGGUGUUGAUACCUGCCAGUCCAAGUAAGUCAAUAUUCCAGAUUUCAUGAAUCAGGUGGUGGUAACCACAAGUUCUCUUGUCAUGUGGCUGAUUAUCCAUGGG
rnacentral:lncRNA from 1 species